UACGUAGGGGGCAAGCGUUGUCCGGAAUUAUUGGGCGUAAAGGGCGCGUAGGCGGUUUGUCAAGUCGAAUGUGAAAGCCCAGGGCUCAACCUUGGAAGUGCAUCCGAAACUGGCAGACUAGAAUCUCGGAGAGGGUGGUGGAAUUCCCAGUGUAGAGGUGAAAUUCGUAGAUAUUGGGAGGAACACCGGUGGCGAAGGCGACCACCUGGACGAAGAUUGACGCUGAGGCGCGAAAGCGUGGGUAGCAAACAGG
rnacentral:rRNA from 1 species